rnacentral:misc_RNA from 1 species
UCUAUUGCAAAUCACAUUUUCCACCCACGAGAGCUUGCAUUCUAGACGUGGAGCCAGUUUGGGUUGACCUUCUUGUACGAGAAUACAAGUAUAUUAUAGUCCAAACAAUAUACAUGAUGUUUGUUCACUUAAGCUUGACAGUUUGUAAAUAAUAGUGUGUGAUUGAGCGUGUGUGUAUAUAUGUAUUAAUAUAUGACUGUACACAGGUGUGCAGAUGUAAACACUUGAAAUGAAUAAAUAAAUAAAUAUAUACCUAUCAAAUCAUAUACAUGCUUGUGAGUCUUGGCUCCUCUAUAUACACACAUAAAAACAUGAGAGUGUCAUACAAGACCCAUUGCAAAAAUACUAAUAACUUUGCUUUUACAAUGUCAAAACUAAAAACUGAAAUACCAAAAACAUGAGAAAAUAGAAAAUCAAAAACAAUGAAUGGUGCUGAGCACCACAUCCGGAUGUGGUGCGUAGCACCAUUUUCAUAACAUUAGUCUCUAACCUACUUGUGGCAAAAACACCCAUAUGCAUGAAGUGCUUAGCACUCUUUUAUGGAUUGACCACUAUGAUUACGUGAAUGCAUAGCAUUCUCUUGAAAAAAAGCAGAGCAGAACAGACUACAUCAAGUGCGUAGCACUAGAUGUUAGCAUACUCUGGAACUGGUCAUCUCAC